rnacentral:rRNA from 1 species
AUCCUUUAAAGAAAGCGUAAUAGCUCACUGGUCUAGUGAUUUUGCGCGGAAAAUAUAACGGGGCUAAAGUAAGCACCGAAGCUAUAGACUUAGUUUUACUAAGUGGUAGGAGAGCGUUCUAUUUGCGUCGAAGGUAUACCGGUAAGGAGUGCUGGAGCGAAUAGAAGUGAGCAUGCAGGCAUGAGUAGCGAUAAUUAAUGUGAGAAUCAUUAACGCCGUAAACCCAAGGUUUCCUACGCGAUGCUCGUCAUCGUA